rnacentral:rRNA from 1 species
GUCCCGGCGGUAAACGAUGGGCACUAGGUGUCAGGGGUAUCGACCCCUUGGUGCCGCAGUUAACACAUUAAGUGCCCCGCCUGGGGAGUACGGCCGCAAGGUUGAAACUCAAAGGAAUUGACGGGGCCCGCACAAGUGGUGGAGUAUGUGGUUUAAUUCGACGCAACGCGAAGAACCUUACCUGGGUUUGACAUGCUGCGGACCAGGUUAGAGAUAACCUUUCUCCUUCGGGAGUCGCAGCACAGGUGCUGCAUGGCUGUCGU